GAGGAGUUAUUAUAAAUUAUUAUAUUAAAUUGCAAAUUUAAUGAUGCCCAGUGCACUCCUUU
rnacentral:tRNA from 1 species